rnacentral:snoRNA from 1 species
AUUCCAUGAUGGGGACAUUCUAGGAUGUAGUCUUGAAAGCGCUCCCAACGGAUUCAUCAUUUUGUUGCUGAAAACUUGUAAUCUUCCCACGGAGUGC